UACGAAGGGGGCUAGCGUUGCUCGGAAUCACUGGGCGUAAAGCGUGCGUAGGUGGCGCGUUAAAUGAGAUGUUAAAUCGUGUGGCUCAACCAUAUCGAUGUAUCUCAUACUGGCGUGCUAGAGGACAGCAGAGGCAAGUGGAAUUAGUAGUGUAGCAGUGAAAUGCGUAGAUAUUACUAGGAACACCAAUGGCGAAAGGCAGCUUGCUGGGCUACUCCUGACACUGAGGUGACGAAAAGCGUGGGGAGCGGAAC
rnacentral:rRNA from 1 species